GAUGAACGCUGGCGGCGUGCCUAAUACAUGCAAGUCGAGCGAACGGACGAGAAGCUUGCUUCCCUGAUGUUAGCGGCGGACGGGUGAGUAACACGUGGAUAACCUACCUAUAAGACUGGGAUAACUUCGGGAAAACGGAGCUAAUACCGGAUAAUCUUUUGAACCGCAUUGUUCAAAAGUGAAAGACGGUCUUGCUGUCACUUAUAGAUGGAUCCGCGCUGCAUUAGCUAGUUGGUAAGGUAACGGCUUACCAAGGCAACGAUGCAUAGCCGACCUGAGAGGGUGACCGGCCACCCUGGAACUGAGACACGGUCCAGACUCCUCCGGGAGGAAGCGGAGGGGAACCUUCGGCAUUGGGCGAAGGCCGGACGGAGCAACGCCGCGUGAGUGAUGAAGGUCUUCGGAUCGUAAGACCUGUUGAUUAGGGAAGACCAGAGGGGUAAGUAACUGUUCACAUCUUGACGGUACCUAAUCAGAAAGCCACGGCUAACUACGUG
rnacentral:rRNA from 1 species